rnacentral:rRNA from 1 species
AUUGAACGCUGGCGGCAGGCUUAACACACGCAAGUCGAACGGCAGCACGGGAGCAAUCCUGGUGGCGAGUGGCGAACGGGUGAGUAAAGUAUCGGAACGUGCCCAGUCGUGGGGGAUAACGUAGCGAAAGUUACGCUAAUACCGCAUACGAUCUAUGGAUGAAAGCGGGGGAUCGCAAGACCUCGCGCGAUUGGAGCGGCCGAUAUCAGAUUAGGUAGUUGGUGGGGUAAAGGCUCACCAAGCCGACGAUCUGUAGCUGGUCUGAGAGGACGACCAGCCACACUGGGACUGAGACACGGCCCAGACUCCUACGGGAGGCAGCAGUGGGGAAUUUUGGACAAUGGGCGAAAGCCUGAUCCAGCCAUGCCGCGUGCAGGAUGAAGGCCUUCGGGUUGUAAACUGCUUUUGUACGGAACGAAAAGGUUUGGCCUAAUAAGCUGAGCUCAUGACGGUACCGUAAGAAUAAGCACCGGCUAACUACGUGCCAGCAGCCGCCGCGG